rnacentral:rRNA from 1 species
CCUACGGGGGGCUGCAGUGGGGAAUAUUGGACAAUGGGGGCAACCCUGAUCCAGCCAUGCCGCGUGUGUGAAGAAGGCCCUCGGGUUGUAAAGCACUUUCAGUGAGGAAGAACGCCUGGUGGUUAAUACCCAUCAGGAAAGACAUCACUCACAGAAGAAGCACCGGCUAACUCCGUGCCAGCAGCCGCGGUAAUACGGAGGGUGCGAGCGUUAAUCGGAAUUACUGGGCGUAAAGCGCGCGUAGGUGGCUUGAUAAGCCGGUUGUGAAAGCCCCGGGCUCAACCUGGGAACGGCAUCCGGAACUGUCAAGCUAGAGUGCAGGAGAGGAAGGUAGAAGUCCCGGUGUAGCGGUGAAAUGCGUAGAGAUCGGGAGGAAUACCAGUGGCGAAGGCGGCCUUCUGGACUGACACUGACACUGAGGUGCGAAAGCGUGGGUAGCAAACAGGAUUAGAUACCCCUGUAGUC